UCCGAAGUCCAGCCCGAGCGUGGCCCUGACGCAGCUGGCGGCGUGCGUUCGCUCGCCCAAGGUCACGGGUGGUUGUGGGGAGUGAGGAAACGCGCGGCCGCCCAGGGCUGCCAAUGCCCCGGCGGCGCUGUUCUGAACAAACUGUUUUGGCCAGCCUGUGAAAUCCCUGGAAAUUGACGAUUCCAGCAAAGCGUCGUGAACUGGGAAAGCACCAAGUGUUCUACUCAAAAGCCGCGAAGGGACAAAACAAGCUAGACCCGAGGCCCAGAUGAAGCGGGAGGAGGAGGCUUGCGAGAGGAAGUUCAAGGGGAAUUGGAGUUAUAGUGAGUGAAACAAGAUAAUUCCUGAAGAAGCAUACUUUGAAAAAAGUCUAAGGAGAUGGAGUCUCAGUAUGUUGAUCAAGCUGGUCUCGAACUCUUGGGCUCCAUUGAUCCUCCCACCUUGACCUCUCAAGUGCUGGGAUUACAGAUCACUUGUGAGAACUUUGAGAAGCAUCCAAAGAGAUUGAAGAAUUUUUUUGUUUUAGUAGCAAAAUCUUACUUAUUGUACAAUUAUUUAGAACUGUGAUAGAAGAGUUUUUAUUGUUGCCUUUCCUGACUUCAUUGCAUUUUAAAGGCAUUUUUAUUAAUAAAUAACAUAAUGUGCAACGGCUUUCAUAAACCACUCCCACUCCCACCCCUGUGUCAUCCCCGUAAAACUAAACAAACCAACUGAAAUCUCUACACUUCUACAAAAACUCAGUAUGAUGUCCCUCAUAAGAAUUAAUGUAAGGAUCCAGGGGCG